GGCGAACGCUGGCGGCGCGCCUAACACAUGCAAGUCGAGCGAGAACCGGCCCUUCGGGGCCGGGGACAGCGGCGAACGGGUGAGUAACACGUGGGUAAUCUGCCCUCGGCACCGGGAUAGCCCGGGGAAACCCGGAUUAAUACCGGAUGGCCUUUCGAGUCCUCGGACUCGAAUGAAAAGGUAGCUUCGGCCUCCGGCCGAGGAUGAGCCCGCGGCCGAUUAGCUUGUUGGUGAGGUAACGGCUCACCAAGGCUCCGAUCGGUAGCUGGUCUGAGAGGACGAUCAGCCACACUGGGACUGAGACACGGCCCAGACUCCUACGGGAGGCAGCAGUGGGGAAUCUUGCGCAAUGGGCGAAAGCCUGACGCAGCGACGCCGUGUGCGGGAAGAAGGCCUU
rnacentral:rRNA from 1 species